AAUUCAUAGAUCUCAACAUCGGCUCUCUCUCACUCUUAACCCUAAAUCGCCCCACCUCUCCAAUAUCGUUUCAUCACCAAUCUCCUUCCUCUACACAACCGCUAUGGACGAAGAUGAGCAAGAGGAACCGUAAUGGUGAUGAUUGUCGACGGUGGUUUUCAAUGAUGAUUCUCGAAUCGUCUUCCAUGGUUAGUUAUUCUUGAAGCCCCUAGUUUUGAGCAAUUUGGGACUUGCUUUCACCCUAUGCCUGCAUUCAUUUCCAGUUGAGUAUGCAUCAGUUUCACUCGCUGGUCAAAUUUAAGCAUCGUGUGUGUGUACACCUGAAGCAAAUUACACACUCUUUGUCUUCGGUUAAUAUGCUAUCUCAAGCAUAUACGAUAUGAGGUAUUGUAAAUCUAUAAUUAUGUUAACACCACAUGGAGUUGAAGGUAGAAAUUCAAAGAUAUUUUCUGAAUUUUUAUGCUUGAAUUAUAACCUUGUGUUAUUGCAAUUUAUCAAGAAUAUCCGAGUAUCGUGAAUGUUAGAGGCAACAAUUUUGAGUCUUUUUUCAUGAAAAUAGGUCAAACAAGUAUUCAUACAAGUAACUAAAUAUGGAAUUGCUAAAAUGGUUUAAAUGGACCUAAACGAGUAUUUAAAUGCUUGUUUUUUUAUGAGUUGGACACCAACGUCACACUAUUAGUGGUUAAAAAAUGUUAGUGGCUACGCGUGAGAGUUAUCAUAUAUACGUACAAUUUAAGAAAUGUAGGCUUGCUCUGCUGUUUGGGCCUUUACCUUUAAAAGCUUGGAACUUUGAAUGGUGCUCGUUCGAUUCCUCUCGUUGACUGGUUUCAACUAUGUUUUCUUAACUUUUUUGUUUUUUAUUUAACUGGAAACUAUGGGUUUCACGUGGUAGUUGUUGCCAUUGUGCAGAAGAAGUUGGAACUUUUUGUGGCGCACAACUUUUGUGUUUUCACUUUCGGUUGCGAUACUGUAACAAACCAAAUCGGUAUAGAACAAAUGCCCGACGCGGACCACAGUGUGCAGGUUUAAUCACACUAGUUUUUAUAAUUUUCUUAUUGGCUUGCAUCAAGGGAUUUUGUUAAUUGUGUUUAUAAAGGCCAGAAGUACAACCUUACUUUUUGGUUGAAACUCUAUGGAAUGAUAACCAGGUAGCAGUAUCUAUCUUUGAAUCUUGCUAUGCAUACGGGGCAUUGUUAGUCACGUUGAGAACUAGCGGGUGCAGGAUGGCUAUGAUGAUAUUCGGUGAAAUCUUUAGAGGGACAUGUGAUGGAAAGUAACCCAAAAGUCAAAAGUUUGGGUAAAGAGGUUCAAGAGUUAAGCAUAUAUUCUAUUUAGCGAAGCAUAUAUGCUAAUUUUUUACAACUACUUUUUUUCAUCGGACACUAUGUGAUGUUAUUUAAUCAAUGCACUGUGAACAUUAAUAUGUUCCUAAACUACGAAGGAGUUUACGACCCAUGAAUGGGUCUCGAUAAUGAUUCAAUAAGCAGAGCGAAGUUGAUGUAUUUGGCGAAUAAGCUUGGACUAGCUAAGCUAUGAAUCACCUGAGGUGAAUCAAUUGUGACAAAAUGAUUGUUCUUAUUUGACUGAAGCUGCUAUUGAGCACUGAUUUCACUUGGUUAAUAACAACUUCAGCUUCGCGAAUGUUUGUUGGCAUGUUAUUCUUACUUGAAAGACUACAUAGUCUGGUCGAACAAGGGAGACUGGAAGAGGUUGAACAAGGGAGACUAGAAGAGGUUGCACAAGUCGAAUAGAUCCUUGAAGAAAAUUUAUUUUAAUUAGAAUAUUUUGUAAAUUAUUUAUGUUAUUUAUAACUUUAUUAAUGUAUAGUACAUUAUUUAUGUUAUUUAUAUUAUUAUUGUUAUGU
rnacentral:lncRNA from 1 species